rnacentral:rRNA from 1 species
GACGAACGCUGGCGGCGCGCCUAACACAUGCAAGUCGAACGAGAGAUGAGGAGCUUACUCUUCAAAUCGAGUCGGCGAACGGGUGAGUAACGCGUGAGGAACCUGCCUCAAAGAGGGGGACAACAGUUGGAAACGACUGCUAAUACCGCAUAAGCCCACGGCUCGGCAUCGAGCAGAGGGAAAAGGAGCAAUCCGCUUUGAGAUGGCCUCGCGUCCGAUUAGCUAGUUGGUGAGGUAACGGCCCACCAAGGCGACGAUCGGUAGCCGGACUGAGAGGUUGAACGGCCACAUUGGGACUGAGACACGGCCCAGACUCCUACGGGAGGCAGCAGUGGGGAAUAUUGCACAAUGGGGGAAACCCUGAUGCAGCGACGCCGCGUGGAGGAAGAAGGUCUUCGGAUUGUAAACUCCUGUUGUUGAGGAAGAUAAUGACGGUACUCAACAAGGAAGUGACGGCUAACUACGUGCCAGCAGCCGCGGUAAAACGUAGGUCACAAGCGUUGUCCGGAAUUACUGGGUGUAAAGGGAGCGCAGGCGGGAGAACAAGUUGGAAGUGAAAUCCAUGGGCUCAACCCAUGAACUGCUUUCAAAACUGUUUUUCUUGAGUAGUGCAGAGGUAGGCGGAAUUCCCGGUGUAGCGGUGGAAUGCGUAGAUAUCGGGAGGAACACCAGUGGCGAAGGCGGCCUACUGGGCACCAACUGACGCUGAGGCUCGAAAGUGUGGGUAGCAAACAGGAUUAGAUACCCUGGUAGUCCACACCGUAAACGAUGAUUACUAGGUGUUGGAGGAUUGACCCCUUCAGCGCCGCAGUUAACACAAUAAGUAAUCCACCUGGGGAGUACGACCGCAAGGUUGAAACUCAAAGGAAUUGACGGGGGCCCGCACAAGCAGUGGAGUAUGUGGUUUAAUUCGACGCAACGCGAAGAACCUUACCAAGUCUUGACAUCCCUUGACGAUGCUGGAAACAGUAUUUCUCUUCGGAGCAAGGAGACAGGUGGUGCAUGGUUGUCGUCAGCUCGUGUCGUGAGAUGUUGGGUUAAGUCCCGCAACGAGCGCAACCCUUAUGGUCAGUUACUACGCAAGAGGACUCUGGCCAGACUGCCGUUGACAAAACGGAGGAAGGUGGGGAUGACGUCAAAUCAUCAUGCCCUUUAUGACUUGGGCUACACACGUACUACAAUGGCGUUAAACAAAGAGAAGCAAGACCGCGAGGUGGAGCAAAACUCAGAAACAACGUCCCAGUUCGGACUGCAGGCUGCAACUCGCCUGCACGAAGUCGGAAUUGCUAGUAAUCGUGGAUCAGCAUGCCACGGUGAAUACGUUCCCGGGCCU